rnacentral:lncRNA from 1 species
GAAUACCUUGAAAGCCUCGCUGAUCUCCCCCAUUCAAAACAAGAAACAAAUGAGAUGAUAUAUAGCUCUCUACAACAACAACCUCCCCAAAUCUCAAUAUUCUUUCCUCAAAUCUCUCCAAAUAUCCCUCAUCAAUUCUCUCUAUUACUAGUUCAAACUCCAUUCAAACUCCCCCUUAGCUAUGUUUCAGUCCAACUCCA